UGUCAAGUACUACCUACGUUUCCUUCUAUAUGAUAGUGUUUGAUAUGGAGCAUAAGAUUAAAAUUGCUUUUGCUCUUCAGAUUUGCUGAGAUUUUAACUAACCUCUGAAGCUGAUCUAGUAAGCUUUAGUACAUU
rfam:Solanum lycopersicum cultivar Heinz 1706 chromosome 6, whole genome shotgun sequence.